GCCUACCGAGGGUAUAAGUAACCCCCACUGCUAGUUACGCCCAGGUGUAAAACCUUAACAACGCCAGAGAGCCGUGAGUGGACAUAUUUAUCAAAAGACUGAAAAUAGAGUAAAGGAGAGCGAUAUAAAACCAGGACAACAUAUUCUGAAUCACCGCGCAUCGCGACUUUUGAGGUCAGUGGAAGAGAAGCGAACAGAAGACGCUAAGUGGAUAAUGCUAACGCUAACAGGCUAGCCGCACUCGUGUUUUUAGCCUGAUAUGCUAGUGAAAAGCUAACUCCUCUAAUACCUAACCGUUUAUUCAAUAAAAAUUAAUGAAAUGGAGUUGAAGUUGUCAAAUUAAAAAACUCUUUACACAUAUAUGUCUUAAAUUUAUAUGAUUUGUCUGUUGUAUUUUAUGGUACAGGAGCCCGCAGUGAUGUUAUUAUUUAUGUUUUAAAAGUUUAUCAGUGUUUUAAUUACUGGAAAAUGAAUAAUUGCGUUGUAGAUGAGAAACAGGACAUCAGGGCUACGAUUUAAUGAAUUUAUUCACCAAAAAUCACAAAUCAGCUGACAUUAAAGUGUAUUUUAUUUAAUUUGCUGCAUGAAAAAAACAUGAACAGAGGUAUGGUUGACUUUUUUGUCAAUGUCUCUGUAAAUUAACUCAGUCUUAGUUUUUUUGUCAUGACUUACAGUAUUGCUAAAGCAGCUGUAUUUUUAUAUAAUGUUGUUUUGAAACCAGAUAAAUAUUAACAAAAAACAAUCAGUUCUUAAAGUAAAAAUCAGUAACAUUAUACUAACAAUAAUAAGAAGUUUUCAUGUUUUAAAUCUUUAAAUUUAGCCGUAAACUGAAGUGGUUUCCUAAAAAACUCAAUCAUAUCUUACUGUCCACCAGAGGGCGCUGUUUCUACACAAAAAUGUCCUGCUAUAAAUAAAAUAAAUUUGAGAUAAAAGUCUCAACUUUAAAGAGAUUAUGAUUUUGAACUCUGUCUUGUUCACUGAUUAAGCUCUUAGUUCCCUGUAUUUGUAGUGUUUUCUUUAGGGUAAUGCUAAUUAAGACGAUUUUACUAAAUCACGAAAGAAUCAACACCAAAUCAACAUCAAAGACAUCAGGGUAAAAAAACUCCUUGACCAGUGAAGUAGCCUGAAAGCUUCUCUGAGCUCUCACCACAGUCCAGUUUGACAUCCUCAGCACAGAUUUUUGUCUUUUGCUGGGAUAAAAAAAAACAAAAACAAACUAAUCGUCUCUCUUCUUUUCUUUCAGGACUCUUCGUCGGUGGAUCCUGGAGUUGGGGGCCUAGUUUAGUUUAGUUCCUGGUUGAAGUGGUCGUUAAGUUUAGAGUCUGAACUUAUGAUUUUACUUUUCACUGAGUGUUCAGGGACUUGAGUCACAAUUAAAAGUGAAGAUUUGAGACACUUUAAUUAUUUACUUAAAAGCUUUCAGGUAUCAUUAGUCAGCAGUUCAUUUAAAAUAGUUUAGAUUAAACUUUUUUCUAGUUGAAAUUAUUUCAAGACUUUCAAUCGUUGCUUUUGAAUGGAACUGUUGGUUCACUUGUGUGAUGUCUGGCAUUUCCAUGAGUUUAUAAAUAGAAAAAACACAAACACACUGUGACUCUGUGUCUUUUUAUUCUAAUCAGACCCCCCUCCUCCUGUCUCCCUCAGGUAGAAGUUCAUCUGCUUCAUGAUGUUGAGUUUAGUUCCUGGUUGAAGUGGUCGUUAAGUUUAGAGUCUGAAUUUAUUAUUUUACCUUUUACUGAGUGUUUAGAGACUUAAGUCACGAUUAAAAGUGAAGAUUUGAGACAUUUUUAUUUAAAAGCUUUUAAGUAUCAUUAGUCAGCUGUUAGUUUUAAAUACUUAAGAUUAGUUCAGGGAGGGAGUCACCUCACCCAAUGGCGUUCUCUAGAGAGUCAGAUCCUUUUGGAAACCUAGACCUGUACCUGUCUCUGAGGCUCAGAGGGGAAAAGACUGAUUUAGACUCCUGAGGUUGAAGGUCCUGGUGAAUUUUUAAGUCCAGUGUCUUGUGACGUGAGCAGACAGAAAACCUUUCACAAACAGAAUCCUCCUGAGUGUCCCCAUGGCUAAGUGGAUAAGAAGACUGACUAGAACUCCCAAGGUUGUGGGUUCGAUCCUUAUCCAGGGCGAGGUGAAUUUUGAAUUUUCAUACUUUUGUUAAAGUAUGAAGAUAAAAGCGGGCGUACCUCAUGCCCUAGUGUGGAUGGUAUCUAAUGGCGCCGCACAGUAGUCUACUGGCACCCAAUGGGUGCCGGUUUGAUCCCAGCUCAUGGCUGGAGAGUAUUAGCGAUGAUCAGAUUAUCAUCAUUAGAAUUGAUGAUUAUUAUUAUUGUUUGUCAUCAUCAGAAGUGAUGAAUGUACUUCUUCUUGCUAGAGAAGAAUUCUCUAUUUAUUAUCAUCAUUUCAUCACUUUAAACUUCCUGUCCUGAGUGGGAAUCGAACCGGGGUACCCACAUUGGGUGCCGGUAGACUACCGCACUGCGCUACAAGAUACCAUCCACACUUGGACAUGAGCUCCGCGCGCGUUUAUCAUCGUCAUUUGGCUCCUGGACUUUAAAAUUCAACUAGACCUCCUGGAUAAGGUUCGUACCCAGGAUCUCAGGAGUCCCAGUCAGUCUUCUGAUCCUCUGAGCCAUGUGGACACACAGAAUAGAUUUGUUUUUUUCCUAUUUCACUGUCCUCUCUAGACACUAGACUUUAAAAUUCAGCACACCCAGGGUAAGGUAAGGCUUGAACCCACGACCUCAAGAGUCCCAGUCAGUCUUCUUAUCCACUGAGCCAUGUGGACACACAGGAGGAUCCUGUUUGUGAAGGGUUUUAGUCGCGUCUCCUCUCCAGACACUGGACUUGAAAGUUCACCAGGACCUGGAUAAGGUUGACUUAAUCUCUAAACACUCAGUGAAAAGUUGAAAUAAUAAUUUCAGACUCUAAACUUAACGACUACUUCAACCAGGAACUAAAGUCAACUUUAUGAAGCAGAUGAACUUCUACCUGAGAGAGACACAGGAGGAGGAGGGUCUGAUUAAAAUAAAGAGACACAGAGUCACAGUGUGUUUGUGUUUUUUAUUUAUAAACUUGUGACUGAGCCAACAACACAUCUCGACCACGCUGUCCUCUGCAGGUCCCACGAAGCGCUGAGACUCCGGUCCUCCUGCAGACACCUGAGGAUCAAACACUAAGAAUAGAGGACUUCAGGACCUGAAAUUUUGAUAUAACUUGUUUGCUGCCUGAAAAACUUGUGAUUAACUACUGCACAUUAAAGUUUUAUAAAGGAC
rnacentral:lncRNA from 1 species